rnacentral:rRNA from 1 species
GAUUAACGCUGGCGGCGUGCCUAACACAUGCAAGUCGAGCGGCAGCGAGUUUUACACUGAAUUCUGGAAGCUUCUAGUUGAAAGAGAAGAUUUAUUCAAGAAUUUUGUGUAAAAUGUCGGCGAGCGGCGGACGGCUGAGUAACGCGUGGGAACGUACCCCAAAGUGAGGGAUCACGCAUCGAAAGGUGUGCUAAUACCGCAUAUGGUCUUCGGAUUAAAGCCUUCGGGCGCUUUGGGAACGGCCUGCGUAAGAUUAGAUAGUUGGUGGGGUAAUGGCCUACCAAGUCGACGAUCUUUAACUGGUUUGAGAGGAUGAUCAGUCAGACUGGAACUGAGACGCGGUCCAGACUCCUACGGGAGGCAGCAGUGAGGAAUCUUCCACAAUGGGCGAAAGCCUGAUGGAGCAACGCCGCGUGCAGGAUGAAGGCCUUCGGGUUGUAAACUGCUUUUAUAAGUGAGGAUUAUGACAGUAACUUAUGAAUAAGGAUCGGCUAACUACGUG